UACUUUGGUGGCGACCGGCGCACGGGUGCGUAACGCGUAUGCAACCUACCUUUAACAGGGGCAUAACACUGAGAAAUUGGUACUAAUUCCCCAUAACAUUCGAGAAGGCAUCUUCUUGGGUUAAAAACUCCGGUGGUUAAAGAUGGGCAUGCGUUGUAUUAGCUAGUUGGUGAGGUAACGGCUCACCAAGGCAACGAUACAUAGGGGGACUGAGAGGUUAACCCCCCACACUGGUACUGAGACACGGACCAA
rnacentral:rRNA from 1 species